UACGUAGGUGGCAAGCGUUGUCCGGAUUCACUGGGCGUAAAGAGCGCGCAGGCGGUCGUUCAAGUCGCGUGUGAAAGCCCCCGGCUCAACUGGGGAGGGUCACGCGAUACUGAUCGACUCGAAGGCAGGAGAGGGUAGUGGAAUUCCCGGUGUAGUGGUGAAAUGCGUAGAUAUCGGGAGGAACACCAGUGGCGAAGGCGACUACCUGGCCUGUUCUUGACGCUGAGGCGCGAAAGCUAGGGGAGCAAACGGG
rnacentral:rRNA from 1 species